rnacentral:tmRNA from 1 species
CUUGGUUUCGACGGGGAUGAUAGAAUCGGGAGCAGCGAGCCGUGGAUCGCACGGUACCACGUAAAAAAACCGGCAAUUAAACACAAACGCAAACGAAAAUUACGCUUUAGCUGCGUAAUUAACGCAGCUCGUUCAACUCGGGCGUCCCGCAGUCCGGGAUUGGGCGUCAUCCUAGCGGGGAACUGUCCGUCCUAAGAGUUGCGGCCGGAUGGAACACAUGACUCUACCAAAGCCCUGAUCCUGUCAUUGGGAGCUGGGUGGAGGGAAUUUUAAAACAAUGACUGCGCUCGGAGAGGUUCCCGGUGAUAUAUUUCCGGACGUGGGUUCGAUUCA